UGGGGAAUAUUGCACAAUGGGGGAAACCCUGAUGCAGCGACGCCGCGUGAACGAAGAAGGUAUUCGUAUCGUAAAGUUCUGUCCUAUGGGAAGAUAAUGACAGUACCAUAGAAGAAAGCUCCGGCUAAAUACGUGCCAGCAGCCGCGGUAAUACGUAUGGAGCGAGCGUUGUCCGGAAUUAUUGGGCGUAAAGGGUACGCAGGCGGUUUAAUAAGUCGAGUGUUAAAGAUCGGGGCUCAACCCCGCAAAGCAUUGGAAACUGAUAAACUUGAGUAGUGGAGAGGAAAGUGGAAUUCCUAGUGUAGUGGUGAAAUACGUAGAUAUUAGGAGGAAUACCAGUAGCGAAGGCGACUUUCUGGACACAAACUGACGCUGAGGUACGAAAGCGUGGGGAGCAAACAGG
rnacentral:rRNA from 1 species